AUGCUCCAUCUGUGCACCCGGGACCGGACCGGCCUUGGGAGCAAGCUGGCAGCGAAGAUAGGGCAGGAGGACUGGUGGAACAAGCUGCAUUUCUCGGGCACUUUCUGUGGCACUGAUUCGUUGUCGAUGCAGCAACUUAAGGGAUUGCUCUUCAAAAUGAUACGGCAGAAUGGGUUUGUGACGCUCCCGGGCCCUUUGAGCACAAUGACCACAAGAGGCAGCUUUAUCCUGGAGCGGAAGCAAGCGUUCAAGGGUGUUGCCAAAUGGACUGUGCUCAACGUUGAGUUGGACGAGAGCAUCGUUAUAUGGCACAUCGCAACUGAUUUGUUCAUCUGGGAAUCCAGGGCUGGCCAUGAAGUAGAGCUUAUUGAGGCUACAAGGGUGCUAUCCAAUUACAUGAUGUUCCUGCUGGUGGCAAAACCCAACAUGCUACCUGGCCGUGAACGCAACACGGUACAUCUUAGGCCCUCCAGGAUCCUGGAAACAAUAUGGCGGGUACAUAUCUUAGGUAACGAGGACAAAUCUGUGAGGGUAUCUCCCGGAAGCUGGAAUAAGUGCUGUGUAGUACUUAAGGAAUUGUUUCACCAUGAAGGCCCAAAUGGCUCCAGGAUCAAUCGGGCUCAGAGGGAGAAGCUUGCCGAGAGACUGCUUGCCAACUGGUCUUAUGAGCAGGCGCAGCAACUUGAUUCGCAUCCAGAGGUUCUUGAAGGGUCACGUGACGAGUUGUACACGUGUGCAGUCAAUCUCGCCAAACAGCUCCUCCACUUGGGUAGGCCUGACACGUUGGAACUCAUCUUCUCCGUGUGGGUGGAGAUGAUGCUUUAUGCUGCGGAUCACUGUCCCCGGGAUUCCCAUGCCAGGGAGCUCAGUAAUGGCGGCGAGUUUAUCACCAUCCUGUGGCUUCUGGAACAGCACUGGACGUACGUCUACAAACACAAAAUAGCAUGUUAG
rnacentral:rRNA from 1 species